rnacentral:rRNA from 1 species
UACAGAGGGUGCGAGCGUUAAUCGGAAUUACUGGGCGUAAAGCGUGCGUAGACGGUUAUUUAAGUCGGGUGUGAAAGCCCCGGGCUCAACCUGGGAAUUGCAUUCGAGACUGAAUAGCUAGGGUACGGUAGAGGGAAGCGGAAUUUCCGGUGUAGCGGUGAAAUGCGUAGAUAUCGGGAAGAACACCAGUGGCGAAGGCGGCUGCCUGGCCUGUAACUGACGCUGAGACGCGAAAGCGUGGGGAGCGAACCGGG